CCUCAGGGCGGAAGUGUGGCGUGGAGGGAGCCGGUGUUGUCACGUCUGUGACUCUCAGGUGUUCCCUUGAUGUGGCUUCCCAGGCUCCUGUCAAGUUAUGAAGAAUUGUGUGAGUGUGAAGACCAGCGGGGAGAUGGAGGCCACUUGAUGAAGAGCCUUGAGCCCACCCCUUAAAGGAACAAGGCGCGUUUCUCCCGAGGCUCCGACAGCUGGCUCCUUCAGCUUCAGCCCCGGUUAUUGAGAUGCAAAUGUGUGCCCGCGGGGAGCGCAGCUGCUGGCUGGCGCUGAGGCCCUUGCCCCAGGUGCAGCCCUACCGAGCCAGCGCCAGUGGGGGCAGCAACGCAGAUGAUCCUCCCAGGACAAUGGAAUCGUGGACCCCGUGCAGGAGGAAAGACAGGUCAACAGUGUAUCCAGCACUGGGGGGCCAGGAUGAGCCCCCCACCAGCCCGUGUGUGACCAGGAGCAGCCUGGAGUCCAGCAGAGGCAGGAGAGGAGGCCCUGAGAGAGGAUGUUAACAAACCCCUGUGCCCAAAAUGCGCCUGCGCCCGCCCUGGGCCUGUGGUCUCUCCUGCAGCCCUGCCUGGCCCGUCGGGGUCCCUGGGCCUCUGGUCUCGAGCUGCUUCGGGCCGACUGGGCUUCGCCCUGGAGUUUCCUGAAAACUGCUGGCUCCCGACGGUCUGGGUUUGUGGUGCCGCCAGGCCCUCUUCCACUGCGGGGGACAGCGGGGGUCCCGUGGCCUGGGCCCAGCUCCCCCGUGGACAGCACUGGAGGGGCCCGACCUUCAAUUCUCAUCUCCCAGACCAGCGAGACCUCAGACGCUCCACUAGCUCCUCCACUGCGUCAGCAAGGGGCUUAAGGGGAACGGUCCCUUUGCUCCUCCUGACACCUCCUGACAAAUGCGUUUUGCUUUGGGGUGGGCUGGUCAGCUGCAUGGGGGUCCCCUUUUCUCCAUGGCUCAGCUGUGCAGCUAAGGCCACCAGGAGUGGUGAUCAAGGGUGAGAACAGGCCGCUUCCCCGAGGGCCUGCCAUCCUGGUGCAGUUGUCGGGGCCACACGGGUGACAAGAGCCCUCUACUGCCUAAUUCUCGGAUGAGACAGCGGCCAAAGCUGGGAGAAGCACCCGGCGCAUGGCAGCCUCCAGCUAGAAGACACCUCCGCACCUGGCCUGGGGGCUCCUGCCUAUGUCCUACGGCCCUUGGGAAGGCAUGCGGGGAACAGCCCGCCUUGUUUGCCCAUCACACUGCCCCUUAGGGCUGGUCCACACUCAAACCCGGCAGGCAACUGAUGGGCAGCCGUGUCCUCUGCAGCCACCAGCCCAAGCCAUCAGCACCCACCUCUCCACUGACACUCAAACUGCUGGGAGACAUGGCCACCAUAAUGCUGCAAAGCAGGGCAGCCGCGGGCUUCCUGGGGGGCCCACCUGCCCGAGUUCACUCCAGAUGGCCUACUCACCAACCUCUCCAGGUGUAGCUGGUGCAGCCUACACCCUCGCUGAGGCACAGCCUCGCUUUGUGGCCACUCGGGGCUCCCGAGACCCCAGAGGCAUCCAGAGAAACCCAGACAAGACACUGCUAAUUUGAAGGACCCCGAUCAGUAAACGGCAUCUAUUCGUCUACACCCUCGUGUGUAACACGCACAACGUUAAAACCCUAACAGGUGAAAAGCAGAAUGAAUGAUGCUGAAGUCUGAAUUAGUGAUUUAGAAGACUGAUUUGAGAAAUCCUUCCAGAAUGUGGUGCAGAAACGGGAGAACCUUUGAGGGAAACAAUACAGAUUCAGCAGAGUCAACGGCUACACAAUUGACUUUGCCGGAUGAGAAUGAUGUAAAAAUAGACUCGGCACUCUCGAGGCGGAAGGAGGCCUGGGCCUCGGGGGAUGAGGGGUGCAGGACCAGUUACCGGAGCAGGACCUGGGCCCACACAUGUUCUGGCCAUUUCUCGUUUCCAAGGAUGAAUCAUAAGUAAAACAGUAUAAGCAUUUAGACUGAAAAAUAUAAAAAAUGAGAAGAAAAGGAAAGAAAAGUGAGGAAGGUGGCCCAAGGAGGUGGGACCCUUGGAGUAGUCGCCACUCACCUCCACGAACAAGAGAAGUAGGCGGGCAGCAGCGGGAACAUAAAGGACGACCAGAAUGCAGCCGCUGGGCCUGGCCCCAACUGAGAGCUGAGCACAAGGCCCGGUGUCACCCUAGGACCCACUGCCUUGACCAAGGACGAGGCCCAGGGACAACCUGCCAGGCGCCCAUUUCCUCCUGUGUCUCCUCCUCCCAGGCGUGCACUUCCUCUUGCUCCACUGAGCUGAGUUUCCCAGGUGGGGGACCUGCCCCCACCGCCGCCUCCUUUACCCUGGAGAAGCAGGGCUACCCCUUGGGGCCCAGGUCCACGUCCGUCCUGCCUCAUUGCUCAGUGGCCUCAUGUUGACUUCAAAGCUAAAACUCCACCAGCGACUCCUGCUUCAGGCCAAGAGGGAGGUAGCGGUGCUGGACCCUCUAAGCGACUAUCUGAAAUGCAGGCCUGGGCACUGAGGGAGG